rnacentral:rRNA from 1 species
CCUACGGGCGGCAGCAGUGAGGAAUAUUGGUCAAUGGGCGGAAGCCUGAACCAGCCAAGUAGCGUGCGGGAUGAAGGCCCUACGGGUCGUAAACCGCUUUUGCACGGGGAUAACACCCUCCACUUGUGGAGGUCUGCAGGUACCGUGCGAAUAAGGGCCGGCUAAUUCCGUGCCAGCAGCCGCGGUAAUAGGGAAGGCCCGAGGGUUAUCCGGAUUCAUUGGGCUUAAAGGGAGCGUAGGCGGGCGUUCAAGUCAGCUGUAAAAUCGCGCGGCUCAACCGCGCCCCGCAGUUGAAACUGGAGGCCUUGAGUGCACAACAGGCAGGCGGAAUUCGUGGUGUAGCGGUGAAAUGCAUAGAUAUCACGAGGAACCCCGAUGGCGAAGGCAGCCUGCCGGGGUGCGACUGACGCUGAGGCUCGAAGGUGCGGGUAUCAAACAGGAUUAGAUACCCUAGUAGAC